rnacentral:rRNA from 1 species
AUUGAACGCUGGCGGCAUGCCUUACACAUGCAAGUCGAACGGCAGCACGGGUGCUUGCACCUGGUGGCGAGUGGCGAACGGGUGAGUAAUGCAUCGGAACGUACCCGGAAGUGGGGGAUAACGUAGCGAAAGUUACGCUAAUACCGCAUAUUCUGUGAGCAGGAAAGAGGGGGAUCGUAAGACCUCUCGCUUUCGGAGCGGCCGAUGUCGGAUUAGCUAGUUGGUGAGGUAAAGGCUCAACAAGGCGACGAUCCGUAGCGGGUCUGAGAGGAUGAUCCGCCACACUGGGACUGAGACACGGCCCAGACUCCUACGGGAGGCAGCAGUGGGGAAUUUUGGACAAUGGGGGCAACCCUGAUCCAGCCAUGCCGCGUGAGUGAAGAAGGCCUUCGGGUUGUAAAGCUCUUUUGUCAGGGAAGAAAUGGACCGGGCUAAUAUCCUGGUUAGAUGACGGUACCUGAAGAAUAAGCACCGGCUAACUACGUGCCAGCCGCCGCGGUAAGAC